rnacentral:rRNA from 1 species
CCUACGGGGGGCUGCAGUGGGGAAUAUUGGACAAUGGGGGGAACCCUGAUCCAGCCAUGCCGCGUGUGUGAAGAAGGCCCUCGGGUUGUAAAGCACUUUCAGUGAGGAAGAACGCCUGGUGGUUAAUACCCAUCAGGAAAGACAUCACUCACAGAAGAAGCACCGGCUAACUCCGUGCCAACAGCCGCGGUAAUACGGAGGGUGCGAGCGUUAAUCGGAAUUACUGGGCGUAAAGCGCGCGUAGGUGGCUUGAUAAGCCGGUUGUGAAAGCCCCGGGCUCAACCUGGGAACGGCAUCCGGAACUGUCAAGCUAGAGUGCAGGAGAGGAAGGUAGAAUUCCCGGUGUAGCGGUGAAAUGCGUAGAGAUUGGGAGGAAUACCAGUGGCGAAGGCGGCCUUCUGGACUGACACUGACACUGAGGUGCGAAAGCGUGGGUAGCAAACAGGAUUAGAUACCCGGGUAGUC